ensembl:ncRNA D1073.3 ncRNA
UAUUCUCAAAACAAAAAACUUUGACCACUGAGCGGAUCGAACGCCCAACCUUUCGAUCUGGAGUCGAACGCGCUACCAUUGCGCCAAGCAGUCAUGU